rnacentral:snoRNA from 14 species
CUGUCCUGGCCUGUGCCUCUCCUCGCCUGUGCCCAGUUCUCACAGGGGAGUCCGGCGGGACACACAGUACUCUCCCUCUCAGUUUAGGAGGCCGUCCUAAGAAUGGGGCUGGUUCUUAAAGGCACGAGAGGACAAU